rnacentral:rRNA from 1 species
UACGUAGGGUGCAGGCGUUAAUCGGAAUUACUGGGCGUAAAGCGUGCGCAGGCGGUUUGCUAAGACAGGUGUGAAAUCCCCGGGCUUAACCUGGGAACUGCGCUUCUAACUGGCAGGCUAGAGUGUGGCAGAGGGGGGGUGGAAUUCCACGUGUAGCAGUGAAAUGCGUAGAGAUGUGGAGGAACACCGAUGGCGAAGGCAGCCCCCUGGGCUAACACUGACGCUCAUGCACGAAAGCGUGGGGAGCAAACAGGAUU